UACGUAGGGUGCAAGCGUUAAUCGGAAUUACUGGGCGUAAAGCGUGCGCAGGCGGUUUUGUAAGUCUGUCGUGAAAUCCCCGGGCUCAACCUGGGAAUUGCGAUGGAGACUGCAAGGCUAGAAUCUGGCAGAGGGGGGUAGAAUUCCACGUGUAGCAGUGAAAUGCGUAGAGAUGUGGAGGAACACCGAUGGCGAAGGCAGCCCCCUGGGUCAAGAUUAACGCUCAUGCACGAAAGCGUGGGGAGCAAACAGG
rnacentral:rRNA from 1 species